AUUUCCUGUUUGUGUGGUCUAGUUGAGUAGGAAAAAUGUGGGAGUGGAUUGUUAAUGACAAGAUCAAUUGAYGUUAUUUCCUCAACUAGACAAUCCUGUGGUACAAUUUAAAAGACCUACAUACUGUAAUUAUUUUAGAAUAUAAAAUUAUAAAUAUAGUAAUAUCAUUGUACAGAAACUACUCCACACGUUUGUUCUACCUUUAUACAUAUGGGCUUCAGUGACACUGUAAAAUGGGAGAGCAGCACAAAUACAGGCUACAUUUUAAACUAUCAUUUUGAAAUAUAUUCCAAACUGAUCAAAACUAAUGAAUGUGGUGUCAUGUAAAAAUAUUGUGAUUUAUCCUAAAUAAAUGUCAUGCUCUGAAACCCAGUUUAAAUUCCUUAUUUCCACUUUCUAACAGAUUCCAAUUUAAAGCAUUUUGUUGCAAUGAACUUUUGUAGAUACUGUGAGAAUAAAAGAUAUUGAUCGUGAUGGAGGCAAGUAACCUGGCGGCAUUGGGCCAGUACCCAAAAGGUAGCUGGUUCAAAUCCCUGAACUGAAURGGUGAAAGCUCUUUCCAUCUGCCCCUAAUUGCUCCUCCUUCAGGUGUUGAUGACUCCUGCCAACUGUGGUAGGCUACCUGGGUCCAGCUGAGGAUUUGUCACCAUAGUAACUCCACACCGGGUAUCCUGUAGGCUAUUACUGGCCUGUGACAACUGAAGCCAUCUCACAAUGGCUAGUCCUGUUCCUAUUGUGGUAGCGUUCCCUAUAGUGGAGUUAGUUGAGCCAAAGGGUUAAGUUGAGCCACCCUUGUUUCUAGGAAACCAUACUGUGAUGAUCCUCCUCAUGUCCACUGUCACCUCAUCUAAAGCAGGGCCUUAGUAUCAAUAAUCAGACAUUGCAAACGGUUAAUGAUUUAUAAGAAACACAUUUAUUAAUUGUAAUUGUGUGGUUAGCGAUGCUCUUCUGAUUGAUAAUCAUCUGUGAAAGAGAGAAGAAACUUGUGUUAGAGUUUAUUGACAUGUGUGCUGUAUAAACACGUGUCUAUGAACUGAACAUGUUGUAAUGUAGUUAAUGCAUUAUGAAUGUUAYUUGAUCAUUGUGUCAAGUCUUCCUCCCAUUGGCUGAUGCAUUGUGGGUAUGUGUACUUAAAUCAUGUCACAGCAAACUGCUGGGUUUUGGUUGAAGAGUGUUAUUCGUGUAUAUCCUUUGGUUGCCAUGACCAAUUUGUUUUGUAAAUACUUGUACAGUUUUCYGUGGCUAUUUAUCUUCAUGUUUGCUAAUAAAAGCUGUGAGCAGAAAAAAAACA